rnacentral:rRNA from 1 species
AUGACGGGAGGAAUGUGGUUUGACUUCGGUUGAAGUGUUAUAGACUCUGGUAGAAGUAAUGGUUGAGACCGAGGACUGCAACGGAUGCCCUUAAGGGCUAUCCGCCUGGCUUCUGAUUGUCGCUUUGACUUCGAAAGCUUGCUUACAAGGUUAAAGUGUGCGGUCAAUAGGUUAGAACGGAUUAAAUUCGUUAAGGAUGCUGACGUAAUGGCUUUAAAUGACCCGUCUUGAAACACGGACCAAGGAGUCUAACAUAUAUGCGAGUGUUUGGGCGUAAACCCCUUACGCGUAAUGAAAGUAAAGGUGGGAACCGUUUUUUCGGUGCACCAUCGACCGAUCAGGAUAUUUUUUGAUAGAUUUGAGUAAGAGCAUAUCUGUUGGGACCCGAAAGAUGGUGAACUAUGCCUGAAUAGGGUGAAGUCAGAGGAAACUCUGAUGGAGGCCCGCAGCGGUUCUGACGUGCAAAUCGAUCGUCAAAUUUGGGUAUAGGGGCGAAAGACUAAUCGAACCAUCUAGUAGCUGGUUCCUGCCGAAGUUUCCCUCAGGAUAGCAGAAACUCGUUAACAGUUUUAUGAGGUAAAGCGAAUGAUUAGAGGCCUUAGGGUUGAAACAGCCUUAACCUAUUCUCAAACUUUAAAUAUUUAAGAAGUUUAUAGUUACUUAAUUGAACUUGAACAUUCGAAUGAGAGUUUCUAGUGGGCCAUUUUUGGUAAGCAGAACUGGCGAUGCGGGAUGAACCGAACGUAAGGUUAAGGUGCCAAAAUUUACGCUCAUUUAGAUACCACAAAAGGUGUUGGUUCAUCUAG